CGCACGGGUGAGUAACACGUAUCCAACCUGCCGUCUACUCUUGGACAGCCUUCUGAAAGGAAGAUUAAUACAAGAUGGCAUCAUGAGUCCGCAUGUUCACAUGAUUAAAGGUAUUCCGGUAGACGAUGGGGAUGCGUCCCAUUAGAUAGUGGGCGGGGUAACGGCCCACCUAGUCUUCGAUGGAUAGGGGUUCUGAGAGGAAGGUCCCCCACAUUGGAACUGAGACACGGUCCAA
rnacentral:rRNA from 1 species